UAAAUACUAAUACCAGAUCGAUAGUGCACAAGUACCGUGAGGGAAAGGUGAAAAGAACUGAGGUGAUCAGAGUGAAAUAGAACCUGAAACCAUUUGCUUACAAUCAUUCAGAGCCCUAUGUAGCAAUACAGGGUGAUGGACUGCCUUUUGCAUAAUGAGCCUGCGAGUUGUGGUGUCUGGCAAGGUUAAGCAAACGCGAAGCCGUAGCGAAAGCGAGUCUGAAUAGGGCGCUUAGUCAGAUGCUGCAGACCCGAAACGAAGUGAUCUAUCCAUGAGCAAGUUGAAGCUAGUGUAAGAACUAGUGGAGGACUGAACCCAUAGGCGUUGAAAAGCCCCGGGAUGACUUGUGGAUAGGGGUGAAAGGCCAAUCAAACUUCGUGAUAGCUGGUUCUCUCCGAAAUAUAUUUAGGUAUAGCGUUGUGUCGUAAUAUAAGGGGGUAGAGCACUGAAUGGGCUAGGGCAUACACCAAUGUACCAAACCCUAUCAAACUCCGAAUACCUUAUAUGUAAUCACAGCAGUCAGGCGGCGAGUGAUAAAAUCCGUCGUCAAGAGGGAAACAACCCAGACUACCAGCUAAGGUCCCUAAGUCUUACUUAAGUGGAAAACGAUGUGAAGUUACUUAAACAACCAGGAGGUUGGCUUAGAAGCAGCCAUCCUUUAAAGAAAGCGUAAUAGCUCACUGGUCUAGUGAUUUUGCGCGGAAAAUAUAACGGGGCUAAAGU
rnacentral:rRNA from 1 species